GGGGCGGUCAUUUUUUUUAUUUGGUUGAGGACGCGGGCGUGCGAACAGAGAAUCACCGAUCGUUUGCAGAAGAAUAUGACAAUUAUUUUCAGUUUUGAUUGACGUCGAGCACACUGGCCACAUGCAGGAUUUGAACUCAUAAUACCAGUGUUGACAUGCUAGUGGUACAACAUUUCGAAUUCAUAGACCAGUCAAUACCGAGUUCCCUAUGUGUCGUGUAGAAAAAAUAUAUUAUUUUGAAGUUAUCAAAGGUACCA
rnacentral:lncRNA from 1 species